rnacentral:rRNA from 1 species
AUUGAACGCUGGCGGCAUGCCUAACACAUGCACGUCGAACGAGUGGCGGACGGGUGAGUAAUGUCUGGACACCUGCCUGAUGGAGGGGUCUAACUACUGGAACCGGUAGCUACUCCCGCAUACCAUCGGAUGUGCUCAGAUUGGAUUAGCUAGUAGGUGGGGUAAAGGCUCACCUAGGCGACGCUCCCUAGCUGGUCUGAGAGGAUGACCAGCCACACUGGAACUGAGACACGGUCCAGACUCCUACGGGAGGCAGCAGUGGGGAAUAUUAGACAAUGGGCGAAAGCCUGACGCAGCAAUGCCGCGUGUAUGAAGAAGGCUUUCGGAUUGUAAAGUACUUUCAGCGGGGAGGCGGUACCAACAGAAUAAGCACCGGCUAACUUCGUGCCAGCAGCCGCGGUAAUUC